UGGGGAAUUUUGGACAAUGGGCGAAAGCCUGAUCCAGCAAUGCCGCGUGUGUGAAGAAGGCCUUCGGGUUGUAAAGCACUUUUGUCCGGAAAGAAAUCCUUGGCUCUAAUACAGUCGGGGGAUGACGGUACCGGAAGAAUAAGCACCGGCUAACUACGUGCCAGCAGCCGCGGUAAUACGUAGGGUGCAAGCGUUAAUCGGAAUUACUGGGCGUAAAGCGUGCGCAGGCGGUUUGCUAAGACCGAUGUGAAAUCCCCGGGCUCAACCUGGGAACUGCAUUGGUGACUGGCAGGCUAGAGUAUGGCAGAGGGGGGUAGAAUUCCACGUGUAGCAGUGAAAUGCGUAGAGAUGUGGAGGAAUACCGAUGGCGAAGGCAGCCCCCUGGGCCAAUACUGACGCUCAUGCACGAAAGCGUGGGGGAGCAAACAGGAUUAGAUACCCUGGGUAGUCCACGCCCUAAACGAUGUCAACUAGUUGUUGGGGAUUCAUUUCCUUAGUAACGUAGCUAACGCGUGAAGUUGACCGCCUGGGGAGUACGGUCGCAAGAUU
rnacentral:rRNA from 1 species